AGAGUUUGAUCCUGGCUCAGAACGAACGCUGGCGGCGUGCCUAACACAUGCAAGUCGAGCGAGAACGCCUGCUUCGGCAGGUUAGUAAAGCGGCGAACGGGUGAGUAACACGUGAGUCACCUACCCUCCAGUAGGGGAUAACACUUCGAAAGGUGUGCUAAUACCGUGUACGGUCCCGACCGUGUCUGCGGAUGGGACGAAAGGUGGCCUCUCUAUAGAAGCUGCCGCUGGGGGAUGGGCUCGCGCCCCAUUAGCUAGUUGGUAGGGUAACGGCCUACCAAGGCAACGAUGGGUAGCUGGUCUGAGAGGACGAUCAGCCACACUGGAACUGAGACACGGUCCAGACUCCUACAGGAGGCAGCAGUGGGGAAUAUUGCACAAUGGGGGAAACCCUGAUGCAGCAACGCCGCGUGCGGGAUGAAGGCCUUCGGCUCGUAAACCGCUGUCAGGGGGGAAGAAAUCGAUCCCGUGAAUAGCCUGACUGGAUGACUGUACCCCCACAGGAAGCCCCCGCUAACUCCGUGCCAGCAACCACCGGUAAGACCGAGUGGUGCCACCGAUUGUUCGGGAAUCAAUUGAGCCGUAAAAGCGCGUUUGGGUUAGUCCGAAUAAGCACAUUACCUCGAAAUCACCCUGAGGUCAAACCCUG
rnacentral:rRNA from 1 species